rnacentral:rRNA from 1 species
GACGGAGGGUGCAAGCGUUGUUCGGAUUGACUGGGCGUAAAGCGUGUGUAGGCGGCUAGGUAAGUCGGAUGUGAAAGCCCCGGGCUCAACUCGGGAAGUGCACUCGAUACUGCUUAGCUAGAGUACCGGAGAGGUUGGUGGAAUUCUCGGUGUAGAGGUGAAAUUCGUAGAUAUCGAGAGGAACACCGGUGGCGAAGGCGGCCAACUGGACGAGUACUGACGCUGAGACACGAAAGCGUGGGGAGCAAACAGG